rnacentral:rRNA from 1 species
AUUGAACGCUGGCGGAAUGCUUUACACAUGCAAGUCGAACGGCAACACGGACUUCGGUCUGGUGGCGAGUGGCGAACGGGUGAGUAAUGUAUCGGAACGUGCCCAGUCGUGGGGGAUAACGUAGUGAAAAUUACGCUAAUACCGCAUACGAUCUAUGGAUGAAAGCGGGGGAUCGCAAGACCUCGCGCGAUUGGAGCGGCCGAUAUCAGAUUAGGUAGUUGGUGGGGUAAAGGCCCACCAAGCCAACGAUCUGUAGCUGGUCUGAGAGGACGACCAGCCACACUGGAACUGAGACACGGUCCAGACUCCUACGGGAGGCAGCAGUGGGGAAUUUUGGACAAUGGGCGAAAGCCUGAUCCAGCCAUUCCGCGUGCAGGAUGAAGGCCCUCGGGUUGUAAACUGCUUUUGUACAGGACGAAAAGGUUUCUACUAAUACUAGGAGCUCAUGACGGUACUGUAAGAAUAGCACCGGCUAACUACGUGCCAGCCGCCGCAGUAA